rnacentral:rRNA from 1 species
UGGUAGUCCACGCCCUAAACGAUGUCUAUUUGGAGGUUGUGCCCUUGAGGCGUGGCUUCCGGAGCUAACGCGUUAAAUAGACCGCCUGGGGAGUACGGCCGCAAGGUUAAAACUCAAAUGAAUUGACGGGGGCCCGCACAAGCGGUGGAGCAUGUGGUUUAAUUCGAUGCAACGCGAAGAACCUUACCUGGUCUUGACAUCCACGGAACUUUCCAG